rfam:Schistosoma rodhaini strain Burundi genome assembly, scaffold: SROB_scaffold0002396
AUCCAGCUGAAUAGUUCCAAGUAGGACGAAACAUACGUCCUGGAU